rnacentral:pre_miRNA from 1 species
AAAAAAGACAAACUUUGGUUUCCGUGUCCAACGUUUGACCGUCCGUCUUAUUUGAAAAAAUUAUGAAAAAAAUUAAAAAGACAAGUCACUCAUAAAAUAUUAUGUUUUAUUAUCUAACAACAAUAAAAAUACGAAUUAUAAAAAAAUUUCAUAUAAUACGGACAAUUAAAGUUGGACACGGAAACUCAGGGUUUACUUUUUU